GAAUGGCACCACGAAGGUUAUACUGUCUCCUUUCCCUAAUCAGUGAAACUAAUCUCCCCGUGAAGAAGCGGGGAUAAAAAUAUAAGACGAGAAGACCCUAUGGAGCUUUAAACAACGCAGCAAUUGCUACUUUUAUUAAGGACUCCAGAGUCUAAAUUACCUUAGCACUUUGACGGCAAGUUUUAGGUUGGGGUGACCGUGGAGUAUAAUAUAACCUCCACGCUGGAAGAAUCUUAUUCUUAGCUAAGAGCCACGACCCUAAGCACCAAUACACUGACAUCUAUUGACCCA
rnacentral:rRNA from 1 species